rnacentral:rRNA from 1 species
GCGGCGUGCUUAAGGUAUGCAAGUCGAACGGGUGCCCCGCAAGGGGUACUAGUGGCGAACGGCUGAGUAACACGUAGAUUAUCUACCCUCAAGUAAGAAAUAGCCCUGCGAAAGCGGGAGUAAUGUCUUAUGUGGUCGAAAGACUAAAGAUUUAUCGCUUGAGGAUGAGUCUGCGGCCUAUCAGGUUGUUGGUGAGGUAAAGGCCCACCAAGCCUAUGACGGGUACCCGGUCUGAGAGGAUGAACGGGCAGAGGGGCACUGAGACACGGGCCUCACUCCUACGGAAGGCAGCAAUCGGGAAUUUUGCACAAUGGACGAAAGUCUGAUGCAGCGACGCCGCGUGAAGGAUGAAGGCCUUCGGGUUGUAAACUUCUGAAAAUAGCACCGGCUAACUACGUGCCAGCAGCAGCGGUCAUACGUAGGGUGCAAGCAUUAUCCGGAUUUAUUGGGCGUAAAGAGUUCUGUAGGUGGUGGUAUAAGUCUAAGGUUAAAUCCUUGAGCUCAACUCAAGAUCUGCUUUGGAUACUGUAUUACUAGAGACAGCUAGGGGUUAGCGGAACCUAUGGUGGAGCAGUGAAAUGCGUUGAUAUCAUAGGGAACACCAAGGGGGAAGCCAGCUAACUGGGGCUGUUCUGACACUGAGAGACGAAAGCGUGGGGAGCGAAACGGAUUAGAUACCCGUGUAGUCCACGCUGUAAACUAUGUCUGCUAGAUACCCGACUUUUGUUAGGUGUCGAAGCUAACGCGUUAAGCAGACCGCCUGGGAAGUACGGUCGCAAGGCUAAAACUCAAAGGAAUUGGCGGGGACCCGCACAAGCGGUGGAACAUGCUCUUUAAUUGGCUGAUAACCCAAGAACCUUACCCAGGCUUGACAUGUAUAAAGUAGGAACCUGAAAAGGGGACGACCGGUAUCCAGUCCGGAAUUUACACAGGUGUUGCAUGGCUGUCGUCAGCUCGUACCGUGAGGCGUACCCUUAAGUGGGUUAACGAGCGCAACCCUUACUGCUAGUUGUAUCACUCUAGCGGAACUGCCGUCGCAAGGCGGAGGAAGGUGGGGACGACGUCAAGUCGGUAUUGCCUUUAUGCCUGGGGCCAGAAGCAUGUUACAAUGGCGCGCACAACGAGUCGCAAUGUGGUGACACAAAGCUAAUCUCUAAAAACGCGUCCCAGUUCAGAUUGGAGUCUGCAAUUCGACUCCAUGAAGCCGGAAUCGCUAGUAAUCGCUGGU